GGAGGAAUACCCAAGUCCGGCUGAAGGGAUCGGUCUUGAAAACCGACAGGAGCUUAACGGCUCGCGGGGAUUCGAAUCCCUCUUCCUCCG
rnacentral:tRNA from 1 species